UACGGAGGAUCCGAGCGUUAUCCGGAUUUAUUGGGUUUAAAGGGUGCGCAGGCGGGAUGUUAAGUCGGCGGUGAAAUUUUGCAGCUCAACUGUAAAAGUGCCUUCGAUACUGGCUUUCUUGAGUGUGGAUGAAGUAGGCGGAAUUUGUGGUGUAGAGGUGAAAUGCUUAGAUAUCACGAGGAACUCCGAUUGCGCAGGCAGCUUACUAAACCACUACUGACGCUCAUGCACGAAGGCGUGGGGAUCAAACAGGAUUAGAUA
rnacentral:rRNA from 1 species